rnacentral:tRNA from 1 species
CCUGGCCCCCCCGUCGGAGGCCCCGCCGAAGCACGAGCCUUCUGAUGACAUGCUGGCAG